UACGUAGGGGGCAAGCGUUGUCCGGAAUCAUUGGGCGUAAAGCGCGUGUAGGCGGCUUGGUAAGUCCGUUCUGAAAGCCCGGGGCUCAACCCCGGGAGGCGGAUGGAUACUGUCAAGCUUGAGUCCGGAAGAGGCGAGUGGAAUUCCCGGUGUAGCGGUGAAAUACGCAGAUAUCGGGAGGAACACCAAUGGCGAAGGCAGCUCGCUGGGACGUGACUGACGCUGAGACGCGAAAGCGUGGGGAGCAAACAGG
rnacentral:rRNA from 1 species